UACGGGGGGGGCAAGCGUUGUUCGGAAUUACUGGGCGUAAAGGGCUCGUAGGUGGCCAACUAAGUCAGACGUGAAAUCCCUCGGCUUAACCGGGGAACUGCGUCUGAUACUGGAUGGCUAGAGUUUGGGAGAGGGAUGCGGAAUUCCAGGUGUAGCGGUGAAAUGCGUAGAAAUCUGGAGGAACACCGGUGGCGAAGGCGGCAUCCUGGACCAACACUGACGCUGAGGAGCGAAAGCCAGGGGAGCAAACGGG
rnacentral:rRNA from 1 species